GUCAGCCUGCCUGAACCUCAACCGAAGAAGCACUUCAGCAGGGAAGCAUGUAAACAUAAAUAUUCGGACUUUUUUUUUUUUAGCAAAAAGUACUGUGACAGAUUGUCAGCAACACCAGCAGGUGAAGAUUCAGGUUCCAAGGCACGGAUGAUGAAGGAGGAAGGUUGAGUGCAGUGUUAUCAGCUCAGCCCCUGGGAAAUUUUGCAGAUGCUACGUACGCCAACCGAAAAAGGCUGCACUCACAAGGACCUUUCACCAACCCCCAUCUUGGAGGCACACGUGCGGUCGUUAUGACGAGAGUGUCUCAAACCCACGGGGGUAGGGUUUCCCUGAAGGAACACCAGGAAAGCCACCACUCUUUAACAUCGUCAGAAACGGCUUCCGCUUAGCAACCUGGAAUGUACUGACUUUGAACGAACCUGGUCACCCUCAGCUCAUCCCCAACAAUUCUCCUGGCUCACAGUUUCUGGGCAACAGGAAGUCAGAUGGCCAGAGGAUGGCGAGGCAUUAGUGUGUCACAACAAGAUCAUGUGGAGCGGUAACAUCUGCCUCCGCACACAGGGUGUGGCUAUUGUGAUCCACAUACACCACGAAAACUCCAUCACCACUUGGAAGCCAUUAGGUCCACUGAUUUUUUCCCAGCCUAGCCCCCUAGCAUCAUUGCAGACGACCGAACCAAGAACACAUUAUAUGCACAGCUGCAUUACAAGCUACGCCACAUCUGCUGCCACAAAAUCAUCAUCGUUCUGGGGGACAUGAAUGCCACAUUGGGCCGCAACAGAAGUGAACCAGAACACAUAAUUGAUCUUUUUCAAUCAAACCUCACCAACGACAAUGGCGAACGCGUGCUUAAUGUCUGCGCUGCCCACAGCUUAAAAAUUCUAGACACUUGGUUCCAACACCGCCAGAUCCACCGUACUACCUGGUACUGUAAUACAGGCACAACAUCCAUGGUCAUAGAAUAUAUUAUGAUCAGUGGGUGCUGGAAAGCUGCUACAUCUUGCCGUGUAUGCCACAAUGCGUAACUAGGACAAACUGACCAUUGUCUCCUCGCAGCCACUCUGAAUCUUCAUUUCCGCCAUAACACACGUUGGGUCAGUGCUCAACACUGUUCCAUAGACACAGACUAUGAUAAGCUUUUCAGCCCAGAGUACAAACAUCUCUUCUCAAUAAAAGUUACAAAUCAUUUUGUCGUUCUCGGCCACAGAGAGAACCUUACAUAUGUAUGGGAGAAUAUCAGCACCACGCUCACCUCAAUAACUGCAAACGUCCUCGCCGUUUGACGCUGGAGGACUCAACCUUGGGUAUCUUUGACUUCUCUUGUUCUUGUUGAUCAAUGUCGAAAGGCGAGACUUGUGGGGAAUGAAGAAUACCGCUGUCUAAAUCGGGAGAGAAGGCAAGGUCUACUCUCUCCUGUUCCAUUGGACAAGCUGAAGCUGUUUGCUGAUUCUGGCAUUGAAGGUUGCCAUGUCAAUCAAGACCCGCCAUCAAUCACCGAACUGUCAGAUGUCAUCAAGGAGCUUCCAUCUGGGAGAGCCUCAGGUGCAGACUGAGUCACAGCAGAUAUGAUGAGAGCUGAACUCAGCACUGUCACCCACCAGCUUCAACAUCGACAAUCAUUGGUACUUUAACUUUUACUUUGCCAAAUCAUUAGUUCCUCCAAACUGUAGAAACUGAGUCAUACUUUCUCUCUACAAGAACAAGGGUGACCAUUGAAACAAAGCCAUCUACCUGCCCAUUACACUUUUCUUUGUCCCAGACAAGGAUUACUGAGACGUAUUCACCCUCUCGUGCUCACCAAACGGCAUCUACUGCCGGCUGGCUUCACUCCACAUCGGUCAACAGCAGAUUUCAUUCUGGCUGUAAACAUCUUUGCCCAACAGAGGAAGAAAUAUUUCCAACCUCCUAAUGCAGCCUGCGUUGAUGUGAAGUCGGCCUUUGACUCCCUGGACAAAAACGUCCACUGGCAACUUUUGUGAAGUACCAGAGUUCCAAGGAAUCGUCAUGCAAACACCACCUGUGGCGUAAAAGUAGAGGGUGGCAUGUCAGAUCCUUUUGUUGCCACCACUGGAGCCGACAGGGAUGCGUUGUGGCUUCGAAGCACUUCAAUAUCGCUGUUGACUAGUGAAUCCAAAGCACACUGCACCGCUGCCCCAGUAUUGGAGUCAACUUCUACUUCUACGCUAAUGAUGUUGUGUUGUUCUCCACACACCUGGAUCACCAAAGCAUUUUCAGUAUGAGCGGAAGAAACCUUACUUCUGGGCCAUACCAAUAGCUGGGCAGAGACAAAAAUGUAAUCACUGUCAGACUUAAUCCCGGCCACAACACAGGUCAUUACCAUCCAGAACCAGCAGGUCGAAUACUAUGUUUAUCUUGGAUCCAAAAUUGACAGAUCUUGCUGGUCAGAUACUGAAGUUGCACGUUGUUCGCAACAGACUUACGGUGCUUUCGGUCGCCUCCAAAGAGGCUGGCGCAGAUAAAAAUGUCAACAAAGAUGCACAUCUUCAAUUUCUGCAUGGUGCCAGUGGUCCUGUACGGAUCUGAAUCUUGGACUGUUUCCGCAGAGACUACUCGCCGCCUUGAUGCUUCUCACAGGAACUGGCUCCGUAACAUCCUCCAUAUUCAGUGGUUCCACCAUAACACAAACAAUGCAGGUUACAAAAAAGCAGAUUUUCGUACUGCUAUUGCCACCUUAAUAAAAAGAGGAGGGCUGUGAUUUCUCACCCAUGUAGCAAGAAUUACAGUCAAACAGGCUCUCAUUGCGUGCACAUGCCCACCACCACCCAGGGGGUCUAUGUGGCCUUCUUCGGCUUACUUGGACGUCCCAGAUGACAUUAACCAAGCUCCUGUUGGAUCUUAUCGCCCUCGCCAAGCACCACCAUGCCUUUAGACGACUAGCUGCCACGGUCACUUAGUGGCCAAACGAGGCUUCUUCUCUUUUACUUUUUUCACCACAUAAGGUAUACCUUCAUCUUCAAGAGAUUUUACAGAAAAAUAAUUAGAAUUCUGCCUUUAUACAGCCCAUAACGCACAGUCUUAACAGCAAGAAGCUAUAAAAUGAACAACAUUGCACCGGUCGCCCACGGAGCAGAUUAUGACGUGUGUUGUCAUGCAUCACACCUAAAUCAGAAUACUUUAAUUUGACAUGCACAGCAUAUAUAGUAAAUAGGAAUAGAAGAAGCAGCAGUGACUUCCGCUUUGUGCAUUUCAGCCUGUCCGACAUCACGUUAUUUAUUUAUCCAUUUUUCCAUCUGUUCGAUACUUUUGUUUUACCUCUCUUUUAGAAUUGGAGCUGUUUCUGUGUCUUGCAUGUUGUGAUUGGUAUGGGUUGCUGUAGUCGCAAACGUGACAUCAUCACGACGCGUCUUCAUGUUUCGUGCCUGAAGCAAGCUGUUAGCACUUAGAGUAGCUGUAAAGCAGUAAAUAAAACAGCGUGUUGAAACAACAA